AGUGGAAUUGCUGGAUCAUAUGGUAGUUCUAUUUUUAGUUUUUUGAGGAAUCUCCAUACUGUUUUCCAUAAUGGGUGUACUAAUUUACAUCCCUACCGACAGU
rnacentral:pre_miRNA from 1 species